rnacentral:rRNA from 1 species
CCCUUAGAUGUCCUGGGCCGCACGCGCGCUACAAUGAUGCAACCAACGAGUGCUGCUCCUUGGCCGAGAGGCCCGGGGAACCUUGCAAACUGCAUCGUGCUGGGGAUAGAUGAUUGCAAUUCUUCAUCUUGAACGAGGAAUGCCUAGUAGGCGCAAGUCAUCAGCUUGCGUCGAUUACGUCCCUGCCCUUUGUACACACCGCCCGUCGCUCCUACCGAUUGGGUGUGCUGGUGAAAUGUUCGGAUCGGCCGUUUGUCGCGGUUUCCGCGUCAUGUGGCUGAGAAGUUCAUUAAACCCUCCCACCUAGAGGAAGGAGAAGUCGUAACA